rnacentral:rRNA from 1 species
CACGUAGGCGGAAUACUAAGUGUCCUGUGAAAUCCCUCGGCUUAACCGAGGAACUGCGGGGCAUACUGGUAUUCUUGAGACAAGUAGGGGUGCAUGGAACUCUGGGUGGAGCGGUGAAAUGCGUAGAGAUCCAGAGGAACGCCAGCGGAGAAAUCGGUGCACUGGGCUUGUUCUGACGCUGAGGUGCGAAAGCGUGGGUAGCGAACAGGAUUAGAUACCCUGGUAGUCC